ensembl:lncRNA
CGAUGUAAAUACAUGUUUGCUUCCCAUGAGCUAAAACGUCACGUUCUCUACCUUUUAUAUCAGAUGGAAUCAGGCAACAUUUACUGCCAUAAUAUGUCAGAAAUACAAGGAAUCUCACUUGGUUGGUGCCAACAAGACAACAGUGCACGAGGAAUCAAAAAUAAUGCUGUGGGUCAGUAGUACAAGGCUAUGGGUUAGUAAUAUAAGGCUAUGGGUUAGUAGUAUAAUGCUAUGGAUUAGUAGUAUAAGGCUAUGGGUUAGUAGUAUAAGGCUAUGGGUUAGUAGUAUAAUGCUAUGGGUUAGUAAUACAAGGCUAUGGGUUAGUAAUAUAAGGCUGUGGGUUAGUAAUACAAGGCUAUGGGUUAGUAAUACAAGGCUAUGGGUUAGUAAUAUAAGGCUAUGGGUUAGUAAUAUAAGGCUAUGGGUUAGUAAUAUAAGGCUAUGGGUUAGUAAUAUAAGGCUAUGGGUUAGUAAUAUAAGGCUAUGGGUUAGUAGUAUAAUGCUAUGGAUUAGUAGUAUAAGGCUAUGGGUUAGUAGUAUAAGGCUAUGGGUUAGUAGUAUAAGGCUAUGGGUUAGUAAUACAAGGCUAUGGGUUAGUAAUAUAAGGCUAUGGGUUAGUAGUAUAAUGCUAUGGGUUAGUAGUACAAGGCCAUGGGUUAGUAAUACAAGGCUAUGGGUUAGUAAUAUAAGGCUAUGGGUUAGUAGUAUAAGGCUAUGGGUUAGUAAUAUAAGGCUAUGGGUUAGUAAUAUAAGGCUAUGGGUUAGUAGUAUAAUGCUAUGGAUUAGUAGUAUAAGGCUAUGG